UACAGAGGGUGCAAGCGUUGUUCGGAAUUAUUGGGCGUAAAGGGCGCGUAGGCGGUGCGGUAAGUCUGUAGUGAAAUCUCUGGGCUCAACUCAGAGUCUGCUGCAGAAACUGCAAGGCUCGAGUCCGGGAGAGGGGGGUGGAAUUCCCAGUGUAGCGGUGAAAUGCGUAGAUAUUGGGAGGAACACCGGUGGCGAAGGCGGCCCCCUGGACCGGUACUGACGCUGAGGCGCGAAAGCGUGGGUAGCAAACGGG
rnacentral:rRNA from 1 species